GAGAGUGUUGAAACACAACAGAAUCCAGUAUUAUAGUCCAUGAUGGGCAUUCAGAAUAGUGCAAGAGGAGUAUAAAGGAUAGCCAAACCUGCAUCAGGGGGAUGUCGGCAUUUAAGGUUGUUUGCUGUUCUUAGAGUGACAAAUGAAUGCCGCCAAAACCUUUGAGUGUUUACUGUUGCUUAAUGAAAAUAGAUGGCUAUGACAACACAAACUUGGACUCUGAACACAACAAUUCUCAUCAACUUUGCAGUAAACAUGCCAGCAAGAUGACGGACUUCAAAUACAAAAGUACACAUGUAUCAUUGAAAUAGAGCCAAAUGUCUUUGUUUAAGGAUAAUUUCAGAUAUUGGUUAUGAUGAUGGUUAUUUUAUCUAUUUAUUUCACACUUCCUUCACUUCCAACAUCCAAGAAGAGUCCUUUUCACAUUAUCAACAGGGUUAUUUGCAGCAAGAGCUAUCUCCUACAAUUCUCACACUUCUUUCCGACUAUUGCUAUCACAGGACAAGGAUGACUGUUGUUGCUGCAGUUGGCCUUAAUUCCGCCUUUUGUCUGAGCUCCACAAAUGACUUCAUAGCUUAAUAUUGUAAUUGAGCAUGACUAUAAUUCAGCAUUGGUCAUUCCCUAUAUGAGCGAUAAUCUGAAUAAACACAUUAAUCUAGCAUGA